GUCCUCACCUUGGCAGCACAUAUACUAAAAUCGGACCAAUACAGAGAAGAUUGUUCUGGCCCCUGCACAAGGAUGACAUGCAAAUGUGUGAGGUGUUUCAUAAUUUU